rnacentral:misc_RNA from 1 species
UACAGAGGCCCCAAGCGUUACCCGGAAUCACUGGGCGUAAAGCGUGUGUAGGUGGCAGUAUUAGUCCUCUGUUAAAACUCCGGGCUCAACCCGGAGAUCGCAGAGGAAACGGUACUGCUCGAGGAUGCGAGGGGUAUAGGGAACUCUAGGUGUAGGGGUGAAAUCCGUUGAUAUCUAGGGGAACACCAAAAGCGAAGGCACUAUACUGGCGCAUUCCUGACACUGAGACACGAAAGCGUGGGGAGCGAAUGGG